GCGUCGGACUUCCUCCGCCAGGAGCAGCAGGAUCUUUUGCUCUAUACGGAGAUGCACUUACUAAAUUCAGUGAUCGAUGCCCGAAUGCAGUCACACAAACUAGUUCUAUGCCGAAGAGCGAGAUUCAGGUGAUGUGGACCGCACCCCCGGCUGGCUCGGGCUGUGUGGUAUUUCGUGCAACUGUUUUGGAAGUGCGUGAUGUGUGGUACAUGGACGAUGGUCCUCUUAGUAGAACUUUGUGCGAGGACUCGCAGGACUCGCUCGAUUUGCAACCUAGUGUAGUCGAUCCUUGCGAGGCGUGCGAUGAAGCCAAAUAUGAGGUGACUUUUGAAGGGUUGUGGUCACGUCACACCCACCCUAAGGAUUUUCCCAGCAACGGAUGGCUGACGCGUUUUAGCGAUGUCAUCGGAGCAAGUCACACAGUGGAUUACAGGUUCUGGGAAUAUGGCCAACCGGCCAGCGAGGGAUUACGCCAGGUUGCAGAACAUGGUGCAACCAGGAUGUUGGAGAGCGAGCUUAAGGCCGAGAGCGAACACAUUCGUACGAUCAUCAAAGCCCGAGGCAUCAGUUACCCCAACGUAACCGGCAAGACCUUCGCCGUGUUCCGUGUCGACAAGCGGCAUCAUCUGGUGUCGCUGGUCUCUAUGAUUUUCCCGUCUCCCGACUGGAUCGUCGGCGUCUCCGGGCUUGAGCUGUGCGCCCGCAACGGCUCCUGGAUAGAGUCGCGCGUGCUGAACCUCUACCCGUGGGACGCGGGCACGGACAGCGGACCCUCUUACAUAUCUCCGGAUCAGCCGACGAAUCCGCGGGACGUGAUCCGGCGCAUCCGCGCCAACUACCCGAAUGACCCGCGAUCGCCCUUCUACGACCCGUCUGGAGGAGAAAUGAAACCGCUCGCCCGUCUGCACUUGGCAAGACAAAGACUCUACGAGAAGGCUUGCGAGAACAGCGUGGACAACAUACCAGAAGAAGACGACGACCCUUCUGGUGCAUGUGCCGUGACCAGCUGGCUUCCCUGGUCCGAGUGCAGCGUGACCUGCGGCAAAGGCGUGCGGCGCAGGCAGCGCUAUUACCGAGACGAGGCCAAAGCCGAGAUCAUGUCCUGCAAACGGAAACUGACAGACCGCAAUUCGUGCUGGGUACAAGAUUGCAGCAAUGAGGGAGGUGUUGCCCAAUCUAAUCAUUUGCAACAAUCUUUGGAGGCUGAUGACGAAUAUAGUACCGGUGAAUGUGCAUUGACACCUUGGUCUGAUUGGUCGUCAUGCAGCGCGAAAUGUGGCCCCGGAAAUAAGAUGCGGUCUCGAAGAUAUCGGCGUCGUGGAGCAAUGAAGCAUUGCCGUGCAGGCAAACCGAGGCCUCCAUCCCUACAGCAAACCGAUGUCUGCACUGGGGAGGAGAAGGACUGCGACCCACCAGAAGGGACACUCGAAGUCCCUCCAGGUUGCCCAAUGACCAUGUGGUCCACUUGGUCUCCCUGCUCCGCAACCUGCGGAAAAGGUCACCGAAUGCGCAGCAGAUAUCCCAUAGCUCCGACAGAGCAACUUCGCAACUUUUACAAACGAGGACUCACGCAUCAAUAUCGAGCACAACAUUGGGACCAGAACUCAAAUGAAGCGAAUUAUGACGAGACUCCACAAGACGAGGAUAAUGACCAGGAUAAUGACGAAGAUGAAGAGGAUGAAAUUAGUGUGGCUGCAUGUGAAGGAGUACUUAGGGUGCAGCAGGUUACUUGUGUUGCUCCUAUUGCUUCGUGCGAAUCGCUACCUCCACAUUUGAAAGAGCCUUGCACAUUGCCCCUGGAUACAGGACCAUGCAGAGCACCAGGAGUUGAACGCUGGUACUUUAAUUCUGAGCGUCAAAGCUGCGAGCCCUUUAUGUAUAGUGGAUGUUAUGGCAACAACAAUAAUUUUAAAAAUAAAGAACAAUGCGAAGAGGUGUGUCCGAAGGGACCUGACGUAAAUCUCUUUGGCGAUCUCUCAUCCGACAGUCAAAAAAAAGAACGUCGACUGUACGGGCCUGUCCAGGGCACGCAGUUGACAGGGGAUGGCACCCUGACUGGGUACGACAAGAGCCCUUUAUAUCUGGAAAGCAAGCAGCCGCCGGGUGUCCUCAAGUGUCUGGUCACCAAGUGGUCGCCUUGGAGCGAAUGCAGUGUGACUUGUGGACGAGGCCACAAACAGAAGACGAGAUACAUAACGAGGCAUCCUGUGAACGGAGGCAAGCAGUGCCCGAGCAAAUUACUGAAGCGAAGAACAUGCCGGAGGCCCCCCUGCCCGAAUGGCGAGGGGGCCAGAGAGAGCGGCGAAAACAAGGACUUAAUGCCCACAUGGGGACCGGCUAAUACCCACGAUAAUAGAAAAUGUUUUGCAAUGUACUCGUAGUUAUUGCUAGUUGCAGUUUCUCCGAUUGUUUUGUGCAAAACUGCGAGAAGAACAUGAACAGAUAUGGAAACAGUACGCUAAAGUUUUUGGAAGUUUUUGUUUUUGGUCAGAAGAUAAGAGAGAAUUUUCGUUGUUGGGAAACACGACUUUAGAGAACACAUAAUAUAUAAAAAUAUAUGUUGAUUUGCAUGUCAUAAUUUGAUCAGAAGCAUACAAGUUAUGAAGGUGGACCACGUUAGAAAAUGCACAUGCAUAUGUCGGAAAAAUAUAUUUAAAAUUCAGGUAAAAAUUAUGUUUUUAUAUGGAAUCAUAUUUAUUCAUUAAAUCUACAUUAA